UACACGACCGUACCGCAAACCGACACUGGUGCGCGAGAUGAGUAUUCUAAGGCGCUUGAGAGAACUCAGGAGAAGGAACUCGGCAAAUUGACACCGUAACUUCGGAAGAAGGUGUGCCUUUAGUAGGUGAACCAUUUACUUGGGGAGCCCAAUGAGGCUGCAAAAAAUCGGUGGCUGCAACUGUUUAUUAAAAACACAGCACUCUGCUAAGACGAAAGUCGACGUAUAGGGUGUGACGCCUGCCCGGUGCUGGAAGAUUAAAUGAUGGGGUGCAAGCUCUUGAUUGAAGUCCCAGUAAACGGCGGCCGUAACUAUAACGGUCCUAAGGUAGCGAAAUUCCUUGUCGGGUAAGUUCCGACCUGCACGAAUGGCGUAAUGAUGGCCACACUGUCUCCUCCUGAGACUCAGCGAAGUUGAAAUGUUUGUGAUGAUGCAAUCUCCCCGCGGAAAGACGGAAAGACCCCAUGAACCUUUACUGUAGCUUUGUAUUGGACUUUGAACAGAUCUGUGUAGGAUAGGUGGGAGGCUUUGAAGUGUGGUCGCUAGAUCGCAUGGAGCCAACGUUGAAAUACCACCCUGGUGUGUUUGAGGUUCUAACCUAGGUCCAUUAUCUGGAUCGGGGACAGUGCAUGGUAGGCAGUUUGACUGGGGCGGUCUCCUCCCAAAGUGUAACGGAGGAGUUCGAAGGUACGCUAGGUACGGUCGGACAUCGUGCUAAUAGUGCAAUGGCAUAAGCGUGCUUAACUGCGAGACUGACAAGUCGAGCAGAUGCGAAAGCAGGACAUAGUGAUCCGGUGGUUCUGUAUGGAAGGGCCAUCGCUCAACGGAUAAAAGGUACUCUGGGGAUAACAGGCUGAUACCGCCCAAGAGUUCAUAUCGACGGCGGUGUUUGGCACCUCGAUGUCGGCUCAUCUCAUCCUGGGGCUGUAGCCGGUCCCAAGGGUAUGGCUGUUCGCCAUUUAAAGAGGUACGUGAGCUGGGUUUAAAACGUCGUGAGACAGUUUGGUCCCUAUCUUCCGUGGGCGCUGCAGAUUUGAGGAAGCCUGCUCCUAGUACGAGAGGACCGGAGUGGACGAACCUCUGGUGUAUCGGUUGUCACGCCAGUGGCAUUGCCGAGUAGCUAAGUUCGGAAGAGAUAACCGCUGAAAGCAUCUAAGCGGGAAACUCGUUUCAAGAUUAGAUCUGCCGGGGCCUUGAGCCCCCUAAAGAGUCGUUCAAGACCAGGACGUUGAUAGGUCAGGUGUGGAAGCGAAAAC
rnacentral:rRNA from 1 species